CCUUGUACACACCGCUCGUCAAGCCAUGAGAGUCGGGAGGACCUGAAGCCAGUUGCUGCGAGGCGCUGUUUAGGGUUAAACCGAUGAUUAGGGCU
rnacentral:rRNA from 1 species